rnacentral:piRNA from 1 species
UGAUAUCGCCUCUGAUAUUUUGCUGUAAAA